AUUGUGAAUUUAACAAUCAUGGGAACUUCCUUCCUUUCCUUUUGCUAAUCCCUCCUCUAGAGGGGCUUUUAAUGCAAAACCAGGAGAAACUAGUCAGCUGUUAUCAGCUGGGGCCACUUGGAAAAGUUUAUUUUUAAGCUGUAAUGAAGCUGUGUGCCAGAUGUCAUGAUUACCACUCUUCUCAGCUGAUAAUUUGUUUAUUUACUUACAGGCAUGAGGGACUGCUGCAUACUUAGAGGCAAGGCUUGCACCUUGAGUUUGUUAGUCCUUCAUUAGAUCUGAGUGUAGUAUGAACACUGUCCAGUACACAAUUUUCAGUACAAUGAGCAGCCACUGCAUUAGUAUUCAAGUAUUACUAUUAGAAAUUAAAUCAGUUGAUACUUUCAAGAGAAUUUUAAUUCUUCCAGCUUGGUUCUCAAAGUUGUUGUAAGCCUAUAUAGUGUGAAAUGUGAGGGCAGAAGGCUGGUCAGAGACUCAGUACAGCAUCUUAUGAUUCUCAGAGAAUUUUUGUUUAAGAGACUACAUGAGAAAUAAGCUCUGCUGGUCCCAGGGAGUUGGAGGAAUGUUAAGAACCUAAAUUACUUUGUAUCCUGAAGCAGCUCAGCGUCUUCCUGGCUGCUGCUCAGUCUGGGUGAAAUAGUUCAACUGAGGUGAAUUGGAACCACUGACCUGCUGCAGAUACACACGUCUUCAGGACUUGCUGUGUUUUGGCAGCUGUUUCAUUCUGGUGUAUCUCUGUGGAACAUCCUUAUCCUUAUCAGGCUAAGUUUCUAGCAAUGUCAGAAGUAGGUUUUUUUGGUUUUUUGCCUUAUGACAUACCAAUUUUUUUUCUCAUAGGGAAACCCAUUACAGAUGUUUUCUGCAAAUAUGAGCCCUAUAGUCAGAUGCUUCAGUGCUGUCUUGAUACAAUGUCCUAGGAGGAAUGUCUGAAAGAGAUAACGUAAAGAAGGAAACAUCUCACAAAAUGUGACUCUGUGUACUCUACGUUUCACAGAAGUGGCAGCUCACCCUAACUGAACUCUAGUCUGUCAGAUGGGAAGCCCAUCCUUGCAUAAGAACACAAGGCUAAUUCCUGAGCAUCCUCAUAAGAGCCUUUUUCAUGUCAUUAAUAGUACAUGGUGCUCAAGCAGGUUUUUUUUCUUGCCUCAAGUAAUGCUUCAUCUGCUUUGUCUCUUCGUCCUGUUUUCCAUUGCACAGAUGUCUGUGUACACACAAAAGCUUACCUAAUGUUAGCACUAAUGUAUGUACUAUGCAUAUGUUAACAUAAAUAUAUGCCUAGAAUAUGAUUUAGACAUCACACCUACUGUAGGCUGAUACAAAAUCAUGGUUUUCUUUGUGCUAAACCAGUGUGUGUGUAAGAGGGCUCAAGGUAGAUGCUUGAAAUUCCCUGCUGCUGGGUUUUUGUUUGGUAGAAUCUCAAUUAGAAUUAAUUCUCCAAGUCUGGAGCUUUUGGACAUCUACUAUACUCUAGUGGACCCAUUAUUUCAGCUACUGGAAGGAGCUUUGUAGUCAGUGAUUCUCAUUCUGCAUUUUUCUCAGAUUGACAAACUUUACAGUAGUAUUUUUUCUUGUCACAUUAAUUUGUAUGACACGAAGGAAUUCAGCCUAACUUAUUAAACAGUCUUGUAGUUCCUCCAUUUUGAUUAAUCCUUUGACAUGUUUAUUGGCUUUAUGAGGUGUAUUAGUCUUCUGCUCUGUAUAAAGAGAACAAUCCAUAGGAGUUAAUUAAAUAACAGGAAUUCCCACAGUAUUCCUACAGAAAUUUAGAUGUGGAUGCUGCCACAGCCUGAAAAAAGUCAAAAUAAGCUAGUGCUGGAUUUGAGAACCACAGAAUGAGAAAAGUAAGCAAAAACUGCAAAGAGAUUUUUCUGCAUCUUUUGGGGUUUUGAGACUAUAGCAAACUUUGUGUGCAGAAAUAACACUGCAAAUGAACUCAAGAACAUUGCAUGGUUCUGCUUUUCAGCAUGCUUUCCAUUGAUUAAUAAUGGCAGAUUAACCUGGGCUGUGCUAGUGCUUUCUGAGGUCAAGGAGCGACGGAACCUCAGUCCAUUUGUACCUGCAACAACUGGCGAGACUGAGAGCCAAAGGAACUGAAACACUGUAACUCCAUGGCAUCAUUUUAAAAUGAAACAUGACAUUGUAUACAUUAAAUGAUUUUGUAUCUGUAAA